rnacentral:rRNA from 1 species
UACAGAGGGGGCAAGCGUUGUUCGGAAUUACUGGGCGUAAAGGGCGCGUAGGCGGCCCGCUAAGUCGAACGUGAAAUCCCCGAGCUCAACUCGGGAACUGCGUCCGAUACUGCGGGUCUCGAGUCCGGGAGAGGUGAGUGGAAUUCCUAGUGUAGAGGUGAAAAUGCGUAGAUAUCUGGAGGAACACCGGUGGCGAAGGCGACAUCCUGGACCGGUAUUGACGCUGAGGCGCGAAAGCCAGGGGAGCAAAGCGGG